CUCUUAUCCAGAGAGGUGGAGGGACCGGCCCGACGAAACCUCGGCAACCUGCUAAACCAAACGGUUUUUCAAGGUGCCAAUUCCGGCAGAAAGUUCUGGAAGAUGAGAG
rnacentral:ncRNA from 1 species